rnacentral:rRNA from 1 species
UGGAGAGUUUGAUCCUGGCUCAGAUUGAACGCUGGCGGCAGGCCUAACACAUGCAAGUCGAACGGUAACAGRGAGCAGCUUGCUGCUCUGCUGACGAGUGGCGGACGGGUGAGUAAUGUCUGGGAAACUGCCUGAUGGAGGGGGAUAACUACUGGAAACGGUAGCUAAUACCGCAUAACGUCUUCGGACCAAAGUGGGGGACCUUCGGGCCUCAUGCCAUCAGAUGUGCCCAGAUGGGAUUAGCUAGUAGGUGGGGUAACGGCUCACCUAGGCGACGAUCCCUAGCUGGUCUGAGAGGAUGACCAGCCACACUGGAACUGAGACACGGUCCAGACUCCUACGGGAGGCAGCAGUGGGGAAUAUUGCACAAUGGGCGCAAGCCUGAUGCAGCCAUGCCGCGUGUAUGAAGAAGGCCUUCGGGUUGUAAAGUACUUUCAGCGAGGAGGAAGGGAUUGUGGUUAAUAACCRCAGUCAUUGACGUUACCCGCAGAAGAAGCACCGGCUAACUCCGUGCCAGCAGCCGCGGUA